rnacentral:rRNA from 1 species
UGGGGAAUCUUCCGCAAUGGGACGAAAGUCUGACGGAGCAACGCCGCGUGAGUGAUGAAGGUCUUCGGGUUGUAAAGCACUUUCGGAGGGGAGGAAAAAAUGACGUUACCCUCAGAAGAAGCACCGGCUAACUCCGUGCCAGCAGCCGCGGUAAUACGGAGGGUGCAAGCGUUAAUCGGAAUAACUGGGCGUAAAGGGCAUGCAGGCGGUUCAUCAAGUAGGAUGUGAAAUCCCCGGGCUCAACCUGGGAACAGCAUACUAAACUGGUGGACUAGAGUAUUGCAGGGGGAGACGGAAUUCCAGGUGUAGCGGUGGAAUGCGUAGAUAUCUGGAAGAACACCAAAGGCGAAGGCAGUCUCCUGGGCAAAUACUGACGCUCAUAUGCGAAAGCGUGGUAG